ACGCUCGACACCUACGGGAGGCAGCAGUGGGGAAUAUUGCACAAUGGGGGAAACCCUGAUGCAGCGACGCCGCGUGAGAGAGAGUNUUCGUNUAGUAAGCUCUAUCAGCAGGGAANAACGUGACGUACNGACAAGACGCGACGACUAAUACGUGCCAGACGCCGAGUAUCNGNGCGGNNGCAG
rnacentral:rRNA from 1 species